GGGUCCUGGUCUUCCUGUCAUACAUACAUUACUUACCAUUAUUCCAGGGCCUCCUCUGGGCUCCUGGUCUUCGAGUCCACAAUCGUGCCAGGCCGUAGAAUGGGGUCCUGGUCUUUCAUUUCCGUGCCAGGCCGUAGAAUGGGGUCCUGGUCUUCCUGUCAUGGACUAAUUGGGUCAUCCAACAUUCACCCACAUCAACAACACAUGAUGCAAUGCGGCAUAUUCGUGAAACUAAUGCAAUCACCCUAUUGCAUAAUCAUGAUGCAUGAAACAUGAUAAAACAUUUAAUUUAAAAGAUUAAGUUUAGUUCCACUCACCUCUGGCUGACUCUGACAACACCGAAGCAGCUGAACUCACUGCUGGGGUC
rnacentral:lncRNA from 1 species